GCAAUCUACAGCAAACCAGUAGCCAACAUC
rnacentral:piRNA from 1 species